rnacentral:rRNA from 1 species
UACGUAGGGUGCAAGCGUUAAUCGGAAUUACUGGGCGUAAAGGGUGCGUAGGUGGUUUAUUAAGUCAGAGGUGAAAGCCCAGGGCUCAACCUUGGAAUUGCCUUUGAUACUGGAUGUCUUGAGUUCGGGAGAGGUGAGUGGAAUGCCGAGUGUAGAGGUGAAAUUCGUAGAUAUUCGGCGGAACACCAGUGGCGAAGGCGACUCACUGGCCCGAUACUGACACUGAGGCGCGAAAGCGUGGGGAGCAAACAGGAUUAGAUACCCCUGUAGU